AGUCGUAACAAGGUUUCCGUAGGUGAACCUGCGGAAGGAUCAUUAAAGAAUCGCCGCUUGGAUUUGGUAAUGGUUCCUAAUCCACUGUUACAUACCUUUGUUGCUUUGGCAGGCCGCCGCUUAGGCGUUGGCUCCGGCUGACUGCGCCUGCCAGAGGACCCAAACUCGUUUGUUUAGUGAUGUCUGAGUACUAUAUAAUAGUUAAAA
rnacentral:misc_RNA from 1 species